UGGUGCUCUCUUCAGCACUCCUAUAGUAAAAUUGAAACAAUAUAGAGAUUAGCAUGGCCCCUGAACAAGGAUGACACACAAAUUAAUGAAGCAUUCCAUAUUUUU
ensembl:snRNA U6 U6 spliceosomal RNA